ensembl:lncRNA
AUGUAACUGAGCAAAUGUCUUUUGGAGGCCAACCUACCGAUGAGUGUAGUGUUACUAUGAACCUGACUUCUUCUUUAAAUUCAAGGCCAGGACAGUUUUAUUCCUGUAUCUCUCAGUUUUUGGAAGCCUCCUAGAUAUAUUUAAAAAUAAAGAGAACUGAUAACCUCCACAAGGACACUGGCCAACUUAAGGCGAUCAAGUGGAACAUAAAAGGCUUGAUCUUUUUACACAUGGGUAGGUAUCCAGGAAAUAUGAGCACAAUGAGAAGAGGCAUCAUAAACAGAGAACAAGGAUGUACAUUAUUUCAAAAGGAAUAAAUCUUGUAGCUGCUUGGUAUAGAACUUAUCCUGACUGUGGCUGACAAGCAGGUGAUUUUUUCCCAAUACUCUUACUUUAUGGUUUUUUGUUUUUGUUUUUGUUUUUGAUCACUACACAAUAGUUAAUUAGUUAUCACAGAAUCAGAAAAACACUUAUCUAAAAGGAGAGAUCUGGAGACCAGUGGUUUCUAGGAUUGGGUACCUGUAAAGAACUUCUUUUAAAUUUUUGAAAAGAACCUGUACACACUUGUAGCUAAUUAAUGAUUUUUGCUUCUAUUUAGUACCCAAAGUUUUGUCUUUUUGAAAUGGCUGUGUCAUGAGUGAACCAAAAGAUUUUAAUGGGUGGGCUAUGUCUUAAUUUUUCUGAAGUCUAGCAUUAUUAUUAUGUCAUUGUUUUAUACCUCUUUUGGUUAUUUUUUCUGCUGGGUGUUUAAGACCAAGUUAAAGUGAGACCUAUGUCAAUCAAUAUGAACCUCUUGUUAUCUAUUAAGGUCAGUUAAGUCUCCCCAGGCCAUUACUUUGGAACCAUGCAUAGUGCCUCUCUGCUCCUCUGUCAGUGUCAGCCGUCUUUGGGUUAGGGUUAGGGUUAGGAGUAGGUUUAGGUUUAGGGUUCCAAUUCAUGUACCUGACAUUUCGAGUGUGGGUAUGAUUGUUAGGAUUAGGGUACUUCUUUUUGUCAGUGUCAUGGACAGUGCGGAAUUUGUGGUACCUGAGAAUGACAUAGCUUUUGGGUAGGGUUAGGGCUAGGGUUAGAGUUAGGGUCAGGGUGGUAAAUAGCAUUGAAAUUGAAAUUCAUGAGUCUUCCAGAGAGGGUUGGAAAGUUAGUAUUAGCGUAAGUUCGUGGGGAGGGGGAGGGAUAAUGUCAAAUGAAACGCACAUGUGAUUUGUGAUUUGGUCCUGUGGCUUAGGGUUAGGGUUAGGGUUAGGAGUAGGUUUAGGUUUAGGGUUCCAAUUCAUGUACCUGACGUUUGGAGUGUGGGUAUGAUUGUUAGGGUUAGGGUUCUUCUUUUCAUAAUGGUCAUGGGUAGUGCGGAAAUACUGGUACCUGAGAAUGACUUAGGGUUCGGGUAGGGUUAGGGCUAGGGUUAGGGCUAGGGUCAGCGUGAUAGAUAGCAUUGAAAUUGUAAUGCCUGUGGCUUCUAGUGUGGUUUGGAAAAUUAGCAUUAGCUUAAGUUCGUUGAGAGUGUGAGGGAUAAUGUCGAAUGUCAAGUGCCUGGGUUGUGGGAUUUGGUCCUGCGGUUAGGGUUAAGGUUAGGGCUACCCCUAACCCUAUCCCUAACACCACCCGAACCCUAGGUCAUUCUCAGGUACAGCUAUUUCCACACUAUCCAUGACCCUUACAAAAAGAAGAACCCAAACUCUAUCAAUAGUCAUACUCUGUAUGUGAAAAAGCUAUGGAUGUAAAGAGAACAAAAGACAAAAUUUGAAGUCAUUUAAAAAAUCAGAUACAAACACUUUGAUGUUUAGUCGGUAACUUUGUGGAGAAAAAGUCAGAGUUCUUGGCUCUUAUCUUUCCAUAUGUUACAUCUGUUCCUCUGCCACAUGCAAAACUGGAAGAAUUCUGGACAACUGCUUUAUAAAAUCAAAGAAACUUUAGCUAGAUGAACCAUUAAGAAUCAUCUGGUUAGGGACCAGGGAUUUAGCUCAGUGGUUCCACUGCCUGCCUUGCAAGCACAAGGUCCCAAGUUUGAUCUCCAGUACCAAAAAAAAAAAAAAAAAAAAGAAUCAUCUGGUUAAACCCUUCAUUUUAAUAAGAUUAAAUAAAAACCCAUUGAGAUUCAAAUUAUUCAAGAUUUUUCAAUUAGUAGGUGCCAGGGUGCAAUUUAAGACCAAGGAUCCAGACCUUUCUAUCAGGCAUGCUGCCUUUCUGAUGCAAAUUCCAUCUGGGGGCUAAUCAUGUACCUACAGUUGUCCUUGACAUUUAGGCUGAGAAGUGUA